GACGAACGCUGGCGGCGUGCUUAACACAUGCAAGUCGAACGGAAAGGCCCUGCUUUUGUGGGGUGCUCGAGUGGCGAACGGGUGAGUAACACGUGAGUAACCUGCCCUUGGCUUUGGGAUAACUUCAGGAAACUGGGGCUAAUACCGGAUAGGAGCUCCUGCUGCAUGGUGGGGGUUGGAAAGUUUCGGCAGUUGGGGAUGGACUCGCGGUUUAUCAGCUUGUUGGUGGGGUAGUGGCUUACCAAGGCUUUGACGGGUAGCCGGCCUGAGAGGGUGACCGGCCACAUUGGGACUGAGAUACGGCCCAGACUCCUACGGGAGGCAGCAGUGGGGAAUAUUGCACAAUGGGCGGAAGCCUGAUGCAGCAACGCCGCGUGCGGGAUGACGGCCUUCGGGUUGUAAACCGCUUUCGCCUGUGACGAAGCGUGAGUGACGGUAAUGGGUAAAGAAGCACCGGCUAACUACGUG
rnacentral:rRNA from 1 species